UGCAGCAGAACGCCAAACUUUUGCACGCGUUUGCGUUUCUGAAUGGAAGUCAGUGGGACGAAAAGUGGUAUCGACUGGGAGAAUCUGCUCUCCACCGCACGCUACACGAUGAUUAUAGAGAAGAGAAGAAAUACGCCCGAAUCAACGCUGCAAACGAGCGAUUAAGCGAUUGGCUACUACCAUGAGAACACAAACCAUGUGCGAUGCGUGUCUACUAGAGGCAACUCACGGAUUCGCGGAUUUGAUGGAAAAAGAAGAGUCAGCCGCUCCUGUCUUGUGCUGUUUGAACUCUCAAUCUGGCGGCACCCAUUCACUGCAGAGGAUCCAUUGGAGGGCAAGUGAUAUAAUGUUAAAUUAAACAAUCUGGACAGCUUGCAAGGGUUCUUUGAAUAGAAGAAUCCUACUUUCCAUUUUCUCUCUGUCCUCUGCUCUUUGCAUGCGCCUGUCCUCCGCUGCUCACUGAAAUUGCUCAGCUAUCACCUGAUCAGGUAAUGAGGAUGAGUAUUUUAGGGUCUUGAUUUGUUCUGUUUCUUAUGUCUGUUUGUAUUUUUCGUUCCAGUAAUUAUCAUUCUUAGUGCUUUUACUUUAGUGUUGCUCUUUAAUCCUUUUAAGUGUUCUCAGUCACUUUAUCUCAUCAAAUAUUUCAAGAUCCAAUACUUAAUGAGCAGAACUUUGUGGCACUUUCAAAGCCUCAGAAGUGUGUUUUGUUGACUGUGUGUUGUCAUGUUUUUUCCUCAGGUGGAAGAUGAGUGGUAUGCGCAGCUACAACCCUGAGCAGAUCAUGCUAAGCGCUGUAGUAUGUCGGCCGAGUCGUGACGUCAACCUCAUGAAGGAGAAACUGAUCUUCUCAGGUGAGACUGAGCACACAGCUGUGUGGAGAUAAAGCCUGGUUAAUGGACCCUUAUCGCACCGGAAUUGAACACCGGAAGCGCUUGUCGAAGCAGUGUAUCGAUUCUUCCGGUUAUGUAUAUUUUUCAAUAUGCUGUAAUCACUAGUUGAAUAAAAGCCUGUUAAAAUGAGCAUCUGCAGGAUGAUUUCAAACUCCGGACAUUUUCAGAGACAGGCGAAGAAAUAUUCUGAUGAUUACUGUGCACAGAAUUUUCCAAACGCAACGGAACUUGUAGUUUUAAUCCAACGUACCGAUCUGAGAAACCCAUGGCUCGUAAACAUUUGUGAUUUCACCACACUGUGUCAAUGCUGCAGUGUGUUUGAGACCUGAUGAAUAAGAUCAGAAUCAACAUGUUUAUUCAUUUGUAUUAAAUUUUAGUCUUUAUUCUGUCAUUUUUCAUUCACAGUCAUUUCACUGUAUGUAAUUCACGUUUAUGCCAAAAUUCUUAAUACUCAAAUCACGCUGUCAACGCAUUAUACUGUCUAAGAUUAAUUAGCUAAAAUGUUCAACAUUGUUAUUUCUUUAAGGCAACGCCAGUGUAUUCAUUCAUCUAUUUUAAUACCGCUCUUAUGAAAAUUAACCAUGGUAUGUGUAGUAAAACUAUGGCAAUACAAAUGGAAAUCAGUCUGUGGAAAA